rnacentral:rRNA from 1 species
GACGAACGCUGGCGGCGUGCUUAACACAUGCAAGUCGAACGGAAAGGCCCAGCUUGCUGGGUGCUCGAGUGGCGAACGGGUGAGUAACACGUGGGUGAUCUGCCUCUAACUUCGGGAUAAGCUUGGGAAACUGGGUCUAAUACUGGAUAGGACAUCUGAUCAGUGUCGGUUGUGGAAAGUUUUUUCGGUUAGGGGUGAGCCCGCGGCCUAUCAGCUUGUUGGUGGGGUAAUGGCCUACCAAGGCGUCGACGGGUAGCCGGCCUGAGAGGGUGGACGGCCACAUUGGGACUGAGAUACGGCCCAGACUCCUACGGGAGGCAGCAGUGGGGAAUAUUGCACAAUGGGCGCAAGCCUGAUGCAGCGACGCCGCGUGGGGGAUGACGGCCUUCGGGUUGUAAACCUCUUUCGACAGGGACGAAGCUUUGGUGACGGUACCUGUAUAAGAAGCACCGGCUAACUACGUG